CGCAUCAGCCAUGGCGCGGUGAAUACGUUCCCGGGCCUUGUACACACCGCCCGUCAAGCCAUGGGAGUCGGGAGUGCCUGAAGUUCGUGACCGUCACAGGAGCGACCUAAGGCAAGACCGAUGACUGGGGCUAAGUCGUAACAAGGUAUC
rnacentral:rRNA from 1 species